AAGAUAUAUGAUGGAGAUUUCAGUUUCAAUUUUGAUUCAGUAUUGAAAUAAUUGACUUCUUGAUUUUGGUUUGUGAAUGCCAUUGGUGUUGUUAACGUUAGGACUCAGUACACUCCUUAUGAACAUUUAGAUGAUUCUAUGCUUCAGCAAUUGAAUGUUAGUGUAAAGUAAACAUUCUGUGAUUCCUAUUUGUGAGAUUGAAUUAGGUUUAUUUAUCUGAGGAUCGGAGGGUGCAUUAAAUGUAGGCUUAAAAGAUCAUCUGACAAUACAAUACAUUCUAUUGUAUUGUGUGCCAGAUAUUGAAGGGUUGAGUAGUUUUGAUGGGGAUGUUCUUCAGUCGACCAUAUUCAAAUCCGGGGUUGACUUCAAGAACAACAAUGUUUUGGUGGUUGUCUCUGGGAAUUCUGGCAUGGAAAUUGCUUUGGAUCUGGCAAACGAUGGUGCAAAGACUUCAAUCAUUGUUCAAAGCCCGGUAACUUACUGUUGGAGUUGGAGUAGCCAAAUUAUUUGAUGCAAGAUUUGCUUAAAUUUUCCGGAAAGUUUCAGAAAUUCAGAAUUUGAGCAGAUUAGGAGAGAAUUUAUUUCAGCAGAGUCAAGGUUGUUCACUCUUGGGAAUACAUGAUACACCAACAUUACAGGCAAAGGAAAGACUUUUUCUUGAUUGAAAAUGGCAGGUACAUAUUUAACAGUGUCUUUUGGACCAUGAAGUACAUAAUGACACACCAGUAACUUUUUAUUUUCUGAAGUAGAUACGCAAUUUACAACAGUGAAUUAUGGAGCAGUAAUGUAGCUGGAAAAGAAGAAACUAAAUCUACACAAAUAAAAAUGCAACAUUUCUUUUUUUCGGUGUAGCUUACUGAAAUCAUUCAGGUAAAACUUUUGUUUCUUAUCUAAUGUUCAAAUUACGGCAUAUAUUAAAGAGUGCCCCUUAUAUAUUUAAAGUUCAAGACAUCUUUUGUUUCUUCAUGACCAGCUAUAGACUUAUAGCCUCAUAAUAUGAAAGUGAAAAACUUUAGAACAGAAGGAUUGCUGCAUUCGUUUGUUUACAGCAUUUCAUUGCUUAUUCUUCCUGCUGAUAUAUUAGGUUUCUCGGUUUGAUUUGGAGUAACAUAGGACAUUUGUAUCUGCUUUUGGAUAUUAUCACUUAUUUCCUCUCUUUCCCAACCACAU